GCCAGCUUAGCUCAGUUGGUAGAGCAGCUGAUUCGUAAUCAGCAGGUCGCAGGUUCAAGUCCCGUAGCUGGCUCCA
rnacentral:tRNA from 1 species